GGUUAAGCGACUAAGCGUACACGGUGGAUGCCCUGGCAGUCAGAGGCGAUGAAGGGCGUGCUAAUCUGCGAUAAGCGCCGGUAAGGUGAUAUGAACCGUUAUAACCGGCGAUACCCGAAUGGGGAAACCCAGUGUGAUUCGUCACACUAUCAUUAACUGAAUCCAUAGGUUAAUGAGGCGAACCGGGGGAACUGAAACAUCUAAGUACCCCGAGGAAAAGAAAUCAACCGAGAUUCCCCCAGUAGCGGCGAGCGAACGGGGAGGAGCCCAGAGCCUGAAUCAGCAUGUGUGUUAGUGGAAGCGUCUGGAAAGGCGCGCGAUACAGGGUGACAGCCCCGUACACAAAAGCGCAUGUGCUGUGAGCUCGAUGAGUAGGGCGGGACACGUGGUAUCCUGUCUGAAUAUGGGGGGACCAUCCUCCAAGGCUAAAUACUCCUGACUGACCGAUAGUGAACCAGUACCGUGAGGGAAAGGCGAAAAGAACCCCGGCGAGGGGAGUGAAAAAGAACCUGAAACCGUGUACGUACAAGCAGUGGGAGCACCCUUUUGGGUGUGACUGCGUACCUUUUGUAUAAUGGGUCAGCGACUUAUAUUCUGUAGCAAGGUUAACCGUAUAGGGGAGCCGUAGGGAAACCGAGUCUUAACCGGGCGUUAAGUUGCAGGGUAUAGACCCGAAACCCGGUGAUCUAGCCAUGGGCAGGUUGAAGGUUGGGUAACACUAACUGGAGGACCGAACCGACUAAUGUUGAAAAAUUAGCGGAUGACCUGUGGCUGGGGGUGAAAGGCCAAUCAAACCGGGAGAUAGCUGGUUCUCCCCGAAAGCUAUUUAGGUAGCGCCUCGUGAAUUCAUCUCCGGGGGUAGAGCACUGUUUCGGCUAGGGGGCCAUCCCGGCUUACCAACCCGAUGCAAACUGCGAAUACCGGAGAAUGUUAUCACGGGAGACACACGGCGGGUGCUAACGUCCGUCGUGAAGAGGGAAACAACCCAGACCGCCAGCUAAGGUCCCAAAGUCAUGGUUAAGUGGGAAACGAUGUGGGAAGGCCCAGACAGCCAGGAUGUUGGCUUAGAAGCAGCCAUCAUUUAAAGAAAGCGUAAUAGCUCACUGGUCGAGUCGGCCUGCGCGGAAGAUGUAACGGGGCUAAACCAUGCACCGAAGCUGCGGCAGCGACACUGUGUGUUGUUGGGUAGGGGAGCGUUCUGUAAGCCUGCGAAGGUGGCCUGUGAGGGUUGCUGGAGGUAUCAGAAGUGCGAAUGCUGACAUAAGUAACGAUAAAGCGGGUGAAAAGCCCGCUCGCCGGAAGACCAAGGGUUCCUGUCCAACGUUAAUCGGGGCAGGGUGAGUCGACCCCUAAGGCGAGGCCGAAAGGCGUAGUCGAUGGGAAACGGGUUAAUAUUCCCGUACUUGGUGUUACUGCGAAGGGGGGACGGAGAAGGCUAUGUUGGCCGGGCGACGGUUGUCCCGGUUUAAGCGUGUAGGCUGGUUUUCCAGGCAAAUCCGGAAAAUCAAGGCUGAGGCGUGACGACGAGGCACUACGGUGCUGAAGCAACAAAUGCCCUGCUUCCAGGAAAAGCCUCUAAGCAUCAGGUAACAUCAAAUCGUACCCCAAACCGACACAGGUGGUCAGGUAGAGAAUACCAAGGCGCUUGAGAGAACUCGGGUGAAGGAACUAGGCAAAAUGGUGCCGUAACUUCGGGAGAAGGCACGCUGACACGUAGGUGAAGUGAUUUACUCAUGGAGCUGAAGUCAGUCGAAGAUACCAGCUGGCUGCAACUGUUUAUUAAAAACACAGCACUGUGCAAACACGAAAGUGGACGUAUACGGUGUGACGCCUGCCCGGUGCCGGAAGGUUAAUUGAUGGGGUCAGCGCAAGCGAAGCUCCUGAUCGAAGCCCCGGUAAACGGCGGCCGUAACUAUAACGGUCCUAAGGUAGCGAAAUUCCUUGUCGGGUAAGUUCCGACCUGCACGAAUGGCGUAAUGAUGGCCAGGCUGUCUCCACCCGAGACUCAGUGAAAUUGAACUCGCUGUGAAGAUGCAGUGUACCCGCGGCAAGACGGAAAGACCCCGUGAACCUUUACUAUAGCUUGACACUGAACAUUGAGCCUUGAUGUGUAGGAUAGGUGGGAGGCUUUGAAGUGUGGACGCCAGUCUGCAUGGAGCCGACCUUGAAAUACCACCCUUUAAUGUUUGAUGUUCUAACGUGGACCCGUUACCCGGGUUGCGGACAGUGUCUGGUGGGUAGUUUGACUGGGGCGGUCUCCUCCUAAAGAGUAACGGAGGAGCACGAAGGUUGGCUAAUCCUGGUCGGACAUCAGGAGGUUAGUGCAAUGGCAUAAGCCAGCUUGACUGCGAGCGUGACGGCGCGAGCAGGUGCGAAAGCAGGUCAUAGUGAUCCGGUGGUUCUGAAUGGAAGGGCCAUCGCUCAACGGAUAAAAGGUACUCCGGGGAUAACAGGCUGAUACCGCCCAAGAGUUCAUAUCGACGGCGGUGUUUGGCACCUCGAUGUCGGCUCAUCACAUCCUGGGGCUGAAGUAGGUCCCAAGGGUAUGGCUGUUCGCCAUUUAAAGUGGUACGCGAGCUGGGUUUAGAACGUCGUGAGACAGUUCGGUCCCUAUCUGCCGUGGGCGCUGGAGAACUGAGGGGGGCUGCUCCUAGUACGAGAGGACCGGAGUGGACGCAUCACUGGUGUUCGGGUUGUCAUGCCAAUGGCACUGCCCGGUAGCUAAAUGCGGAAGAGAUAAGUGCUGAAAGCAUCUAAGCACGAAACUUGCCCCGAGAUGAGUUCUCCCUGAGACUUAGAGUCUCCUGAAGGAACGUUGAAGACGACGACGUUGAUAGGCCGGGUGUGUAAGCGCAGCGAUGCGUUGAGCUAACCGGUACUAAUGAACCGUGAGGCUUAACCUU
rnacentral:rRNA from 1 species